GGGAAAGCUCAAGUUCAGCAUCCGAGUCCUCUUUCCAUCGCUUACCAAGCUGGCUGGCUAGGAAGAAGCCACAACCAAUCUAACUUGGCUCCAAUUCCUUCGGGAUUGCCAGCUAAGGAAGAGUAGAUUCCCAAGGUGGACUGUUUUCCCCACCUCGUUAGCCAGGGCAGGACGGAGCACACCCAAGUCCAUCCACCCCCGCUACUGAGCGUGCCGAACUGCAAAGCCUGAGCUGGGGGAAAAGCUAAAAGCAAGCUCCAGCACCUGGAUUUCUAGAACAGAAGUGCCAAACCCAAGACUAGAUGUGGUCUUCACGCCCACCCUUGAGGGCAGCCUCAAUAAACACUAACGAUGUGAACAUGCACCCUCUCUCUUUCUUCCAGGAGGAGGUUCUGGUGUCUUCCACCAGGCACCCAGCAGCGCAGAGCCCCCCCCAACAGCCCAUCUGGGCAUCGCUGCAGCGGAGCGGUGAGCAAGGCCAGGGAGUAGCAAGCCAGAAGGCUCACACCCUGCUUCUGCUGCCAGACAGACACCCCAAGUCAGCUCAGCACCUCUAACUAUGAUCUACCUCCGUGCCAAGGAUACAACCUGGAGAGGAUUACACCUCCGAGUGACCCGAGGAUGGCACUGCAGCUGUCCCCCAGCAUUGUGACCACCUCUAGGUUAUCACUGUACCUCUUUCAACACUGUUCUCAUUCACCGGUGCCUUUGUGAGAGGCUUCACUUCCAGACCUGACCGCAGCGCUGAAGCCUUGCCAUGCCACCUGGCUGUCCGACCAGCGCCUCAGCCCCCGGCCCAGUUAUUCCCACCUCUUGGCUGGAGCAGGCAAAGCUGUUUCCUACAGCGUUCCUGUCAUUUAUGAUGUUUUCCCCAAAUAUUUCCAAAGCAGUCGCGAACACAACUCCACCAGCCACUCAACUUGCCCCAGGAAUCCAGGGGACAAUUGGCCCACAGGAGAAAGCCCGAGUGCCAGCUCCCCCCACCCCAUCCCAGCGGAAGAAGCUGAACCGCUGCAGUUUCUCCGGAAAACUCCAUCAGUUGCCUCAAGGAGAGACCUUCUCAUACCAGGACCCACGCUGAGCCCAGCACUGCUGUCUUCUGACCUUCUCUAGGUCCCAUCCUGAUCCUGGAGCUCCGGGGCCAGCUGCCAACUGGGAAGAGCCACCGUGAGAACCGCUCCGGACACGCCGGCACGGGGCAGCUGCAAGGUACCAUCCCAGGGAGGGAAUAGAAAAA